GUGUCCGCUAUAAAACCCCCAAUUUUUAAAGGUUGACCUC
rnacentral:rRNA from 1 species